GUUAGUUUGGUUCUGGUUACCUAGUUUAGUUAACACCUGGUCAAUUAACACAUGGUAGUAAAGGCGUAGAAUGAGUGAGGUGAGAGGCUUGGAAAAGAAGCGGUAGCUUCUUUUUUGAGCCAUCCGCGUAUACAAUCAGAGAAUUUCGAUGACUGUCAAUAGAAUUCAUACCUCCAGUGGAUAGACUUUAACUAUAAGCGAAAGCUUGAUUAAGUCAUGGUGUGUAAGAGGAGUCCAACCAGGUGCCAGCAGUCGCGGUUAAACCUGAGUAGCUCAAAUUAAAUUGAAAGCGUAAAAGGUGGAUAGGCAAUGGGAAAUAAGGAACUGAGGAAGGCGAGGCCAAGAAGAGGGGUGCAAUCCUUAUUUUUGAGGAAAGUGACAACCUUUCUCUAGGCUGUUUCCACGGAAUCGGUGGAGGAGACAUGGAUUAGAGACCCAUUUAUUACCGGCGAAAACUUUGCUUCUCAUCGCUGCUUGGGUACUACGAGCAUGUGCUUAAAACUCAAAGAACUUGGCGGCUUGUUAACUACCUAGGGGAAUAUGUGCCUUAAUCCGAUAGUCCUCGACAUAUUUUACUGAGCCUUGAAAAAUCAGUUGGUGUAUUGCCGUUGUCAGCCUGUUGUUGAGCAAAGAGAAACAGGCUUAAAGGAUUCUUUUAAAAAGUAGAAGAGUUCCUUGAAUUCAGGUCGUAAUACUGCCUAUGGCUCUAGGGAGUGGGUGUUACAAUUUUAAGUUGAAAUUACGGACCUUUUUAUGAAAAAGAAGCGAAGGUGAACUUAGGAGUAAGGGAAGAUUAGUAUGCUCCCCUGAACGUGAAUCUAGCUUGUGUACAAACUGCCCGUCGCUCUCGGUAAGAGCUGAGAUAAGUCGUAACAAGGUAGGGGUACUGGAAGGUGCGCCCUGA
rnacentral:rRNA from 1 species